rnacentral:rRNA from 1 species
UACGUAGGGUGCGAGCGUUAUCCGGAAUUAUUGGGCGUAAAGAGCUCGUAGGCGGUUUGUCGCGUCUGUCGUGAAAGUCCGGGGCUUAACCCCGGAUCUGCGGUGGGUACGGGCAGACUAGAGUGCAGUAGGGGAGACUGGAAUUCCUGGUGUAGCGGUGGAAUGCGCAGAUAUCAGGAGGAACACCGAUGGCGAAGGCGGGUCUCUGGGCCGAUACUGACGCUGAGGAGCGAAAGCGUGGGGAGCGAACAGG